rnacentral:rRNA from 1 species
UACGAAGGGGGGCUAGCGUUGCUCGGAAUUACUGGGCGUAAAGCGCACGUAGGCGGUCUUUUAAGUCGGGGGUGAAAUCCUGGAGCUCAACUCCAGAACUGCCUUCGAUACUGGAAGACUUGAGUCCGGGAGAGGUGAGUGGAACUGCGAGUGUAGAGGUGAAAUGCGUAGAUAUCUGGAGGAACACCGGUGGCGAAGGCGGCAUCCUGGACCGGCAUUGACGCUGAGGCGCGAAAGCCAGGGGAGCAAACGGG